UACCAGCACCCCGAGUGGUCGGGACGUUUUAUUGGGCCUAAAGCAUCCGUAGCCGGUUCUACAAGUCUUCCGUUAAAUCCACCUGCUUAACAGAUGGGCUGCGGAAGAUACUAUAGAGCUAGGAGGCGGGAGAGGCAAGCGGUACUCGAUGGGUAGGGGUAAAAAUCCGUUGAUCCAUUGAAGACCACCAGUGGCGAAGGCGGCUUGCCAGAACGCGCUCGACGGUGAGGGAUGAAAGCUGGGGGAGCAAACCGG
rnacentral:rRNA from 1 species